rnacentral:antisense_RNA from 1 species
UCCCUGCACAGAUCCAGGCUGUCUCUUGCAGUGCGCAUGCACCUACCGUAUCGUUAUCAACGUCGCCCAGGCAGAUUGCGUGCGGGAAGAGGCUCCCGCUGAACUCCAGCGCCACGCGCUGCACGUAGCUAACUGACCUCAUGGCACCUCCAAGAGCAGAGGGAGCGGGGAGGCCCAGUAAAUGUUCCCCGAACCCCCGUCGCAACAGCCGCCAGAGCGGAAGACCACCUAAGGCAGAAAGUUACGUCACUGCCUGAACCUCCAAUCUCUGCCUCUUCCUCCUUUAACCUUACUGAGGAGGCGGGUCUUCCGGGCUUGGAGGCGGGCUUACCAACUCUGAUGUGCAGCAAGACUUGGUUUGAAAAAGGAGACAAAAGGCUGAGAGAUCUGAGUUCAAGUUUCCGCUGUAUG